rnacentral:rRNA from 1 species
UGGGGAAUCUUGCACAAUGGGGGCAACCCUGAUGCAGCGACGCCGCGUGAGCGAUGAAGCCCUUCGGGGCGUAAAGCUCUUUCGACCGGAACGAUAAUGACGGUACCGGGAGAAGAAGCUGCGGCUAACUACGUGCCAGCAGCCGCGGUAAUACGUAGGCAGCAAGCGUUGUUCGGAGUUACUGGGCGUAAAGAGUGCGUGGGCGGUUUUCUAAGUUCGGUGUGAAAUCUCCCGGCUUAACUGGGAGGGUGCGCCGAAGACUGGGAAGCUGGAGUGUGGGAAAGGCCGGCGGAAUUCCAGGUGUAGCGGUGAAAUGCGUAGAUAUCAGGAGGAACACCGGCGGUGUAGACGGCUUGCUAGACCAUAACUGACGCUGAGGCACGAAAGCGUGGGUAGCAAACA